CUCCGCUCUUUCUAUACUUAUAAGUAAAUUCUCAUAAAGUUGUUCUAUUGUUAUCAUUUUGGUCUUUUAUCAACUGAACAAGCACUGUGAAGGCAAAACUGCAACUACACUUGUAAUCUCAUCCACUAUGUAAUACAAAUUUCUCAAUAAUGAGAGCCAACACCAGAAGCCUAAAAGCUUGGUUGACGCUAGGAUGUUCCAUGUUGAAGUAUGAAUGGUUGAAGGUGAAGAAAAUGGUUAUCACUUCCUCCGAAAUUUUUCAUACAGCUUUUGGUUGUAUUUGCUCAAAAUCAAAAACCUCAAACAUGAUACGUCUCACAUCUGGCUUCCCAUACGCAGUGUACGAAAGACCGUGAAUGGCUUGCUGAACAGCAGUUGUAGCGGGGUUUCUCAGCCUUCUAUUGUGCUCAAAUGCAUCUUGUACUUGCUCAGAGUAGGCAAUAAAGUGAUGCAGAUGUUUAUCUCUCAAGUACCUCCCACAGAAUUUGUUCAUCAGAAGACGCCGGUGCCUCUCCUGUAGCCACUUCCCAGGAGCAUCUAAAUGCUUCAUUAGUAACCUCUCAGCCAUCACAAGAUCCUGUAUCUUUUGGCCAACAUAUUCUAACCGCUCAUAGCAAAACCGAGGAUGCUCAAAUUUGUAUUUUGAUGGAUGCAUGAAACAAAGCUGUAACCCAAGUCCAAGUUCAAUAUUCCUAGCUUCAGUAAUGUCUGGAAUUCUGUCUGACAUUGCUAGUGGAUAUCCUAGUGUUCGCAUGACUUGGGGUCUGCUGUCAUAAUCCCAGAUAUUCCCACGGAACCGAUGCAUGCCUGGUGGAACACAAGCCCUGAAAAGCCUUGGGUGUGCAAAGAGAGCAUCUUCAGGAGGCUGCAAAAGAAUUUAACAUCAAACAAGGGAUUCACUCAGACAUUGAUAAGAAUUAAAUUAGCUGUCUCUAAGUCCAAGAAAAGAAAAAAAAAAAAUCCCUCUCCACCCACCUCUUUUUGCAGUGAACUAGCAUUCAAUUGCAUGCAUGCUUGCAUGAUUUAUAUAGUAGUUAAAGUCGUAGAAGAUGUCCCAGUAACUUAACAAAUUUAUUUCCCUCUUACUGAUUCUAAAACAGUUGUACAUAUACCUUCAAUUUCUUCCAACACAAACCUCAGUCAACUUCCAAUUUGGCAUGCACGCAAGAGCAAAAAGGCUGCAAUGUUCUUGUAACCACAACAAUGAUGAUGAUAAUAGUAUAUAAGUUCACUUCCCAAUCAGGAUUCUGACUUCUGAGGUUUAAAUUCAUGUUUUCUAUAUUUAUCAUUUCCAAUAGGGAAACAAAAAUAAUAAUAUUACAACAAAGAAUAAAUAAAAUAGAGCUUGCCUUGUAAGCAGCAACAUCUUGCCAACUUAGCUUAUUCCCUUCAAAUUCAACAGAAACAUAAUCUACAUCUUCAAGUUGUCUCCUCAAUUUUGGCUGGCAAUCCUCAGCUUCCGGAUCCAUUCCAAAUACUUCAAAAAGCACUCGAUACACUUCUGGCAUGCCAAAACACAAAUAUAUUGCACCAAACAGAGCCCAGAACACAGACUUCACUGGCGGUUCUCGAUCUUUCCUAACCAACUUAUCCAUAUCAUCAUAAGGGAAAACCAAGUUCUGCAAACUUGCCGCCUUAAUCCACUUAGGCAAAUUCCUCUUUCCAAUCAACGCAAAAACUCUCUCCCUCAGUGGUGCCGGAGACUCCCUUGGAUACCUCUGCAAAAAAUACUCGCAGAAAGCCAAUUCCAACACGUACUGCCCCAAGAACCAGAGCCUCGAGUGCCCUGCUUUCACAUGCCUCGAGUUGGUCCUCUCGCAGCUGGGGUGCUGAAACGCCAAAUACAACAAUGUAUCAAACUGCUUCGCAGGAUUAUCAUCCCCAAAACUAUCGGAUGGUUCCAGAGGAUACCCCAAAGCUUGCUUGGCCUCGAGCAAAUACUCGUCAAUCCAAGUCUUAUCGGCAUUGUUCAGGCGCGAAGAAGGUAAGCAAGAACUCAGUAAAGGGAAUUGCUUGAGGGAUAAUUGAGGGCUAUUUAAAAAUCUCUGUGCGAGUUUCUUGUCGUCAAGUGGAGGCCUCAGUAUGAAUCUCUUUGGGGGUACUUUCUUCUUUGGAGAAGUGAUUUUUUUGCGCUCUGCAAGCUCUUUGAGGAGUCUCUGGGGGCUGUUUUGGGGAAGUUCUUGUGGGUCUACAGCAACAGCGAAAACCCCGAAAUUUUUAGAGAUUUUGGGGGUUUUGAGGUGGAUUUGGAUGGGAAUUGGAGAGAAAGAAGAUGAGAAGGAGAUGUCAGAUAUUUUGGGGAGAUGAGUGAAAGAAGAUGAGAGUUCCAUGAGCGUAGAGAUUUUGAAGUGUUAACCAAGAGUUUUUAACAUUUAUAAGGAGGCUAUUUGAGAGAAAUGGGAGGCCUAGGGCUUCAGGUUUUGGAAGUGAAUUUGGAGGGCAUUAAUGGAGGGUUUGGCACUGACUGAGUGCUACUGAGUUGCAGGGUUUUAGGGAGAGGGAUGGAUAAGGUGUAUUGAAGAUGCGUGGCAACAAGCCAG
rnacentral:misc_RNA from 1 species